CCUUCCCCUAGCGGUAUUGCAGGUGUGGAUGCUGUGUGGAUGUGUGUAUCAGUCGGCAGUAGAGAGGUCAGAGGCUAUGUCUACAUUUAGUGUUCUGACCUAUGAACAUCUGAAUGAUUAGUAGUAUGAUAGU